rnacentral:RNase_MRP_RNA from 11 species
UCGAAUUCCACAACUUUUGGGAAAGUCCCCUAACAAAGAUUGUUUCAUUGAUGAAGA